GACGAACGCUGGCGGCGUGCUUAACACAUGCAAGUCGAACGGAAAGGCCCUGCUUUUGUGGGGUGCUCGAGUGGCGAACGGGUGAGUAACACGUGAGUAACCUGCCCUUGACUUUGGGAUAACUUCAGGAAACUGGGGCUAAUACCGGAUAGGAGCUCCUGCUGCAUGGUGGGGGUUGGAAAGUUUCGGCGGUUGGGGAUGGACUCGCGGCUUAUCAGCUUGUUGGUGGGGUAGUGGCUUACCAAGGCUUUGACGGGUAGCCGGCCUGAGAGGGUGACCGGCCACAUUGGGACUGAGAUACGGCCCAGACUCCUACGGGAGGCAGAAGUGGGGAAUAUUGCACAAUGGGCGGAAGCCUGAUGCAGCAACGCCGCGGGCGGGAUGACGGCCUUCGGGUUGUAAACCGCUUUCGCCUGUGACGAAGCGUGAGUGACGGUAAUGGGUAAAGAAGCACCGGCUAACUACGUG
rnacentral:rRNA from 1 species